rnacentral:rRNA from 1 species
UACGUAGGGGGCAAGCGUUGUCCGGAAUCAUUGGGCGUAAAGCGCGUGUAGGCGGCUCGAUAAGUCUGCUGUGAAAGUUCAGGGCUCAACCCUGAAAUGCCGGUGGAAACUGUCGAGCUAGAGUCCGGAAGAGGCGAGUGGAAUUCCUGGUGUAGCGGUGAAAUGCGCAGAUAUCAGGAGGAACACCAAUGGCGAAGGCAGCUCGCUGGGACGGCACUGACGCUGAGACGCGAAAGCGUGGGGAGCAAACAGG